rnacentral:rRNA from 1 species
UACGUAGGGUGCGAGCGUUGCCCGGAUUUAUUGGGCGUAAAGGGCGCGUAGGCGGCUCGGCACGUCCGUUGUGAAAUCGCCCGGCUCAACUGGGCGGGGUCAGCGGAUACGGUCGAGCUUGAGCAAGCUAGGGGGUAAUGGAAUUCCCGGUGUAGUGGUGGAAUGCGUAGAUAUAGGGAGGAACACCAGUGGCGAAGGCGGUUACCUGGGGGCUUUGCUGACGCUGAUGCGCGAAAGCGUGGGGGAGCGAUCCGG